rnacentral:lncRNA from 1 species
GAAAAGAUGAACCUAUUGAUCUCUUCAUGAUUUUGUGAUCAUUGACAAGAAACAUAAAUCUGAAACUGAUACAAGAGAAGUGAAUUCUGGCGUUUUUUACAAGAGUGCAGAAAGAGAAAAACUCAUAAAAGCUGAAAGAAAAUUCAUUGAAGAUAGAGUUAAAACAAAUAAUAGAACUGAAAAGGAAAGUCUGUAGUAAUUCAGAUAAAGGAUUUGUUAUUAAUCAAAAGGUGGAAUUGACCCCUUUUCCUUAGAUGCUCUGCUGACUCUUGCUUGUGGUGGGGUGGCCCUGAAUUCUUUUGAGGACCUAAGUCCUGACUGCUUGAGACAUGCAGGACUUGUAUAUGAGUAUACAUUGGUGGAGAAGUUCACCUUUAUUGAGAAGUGUAACAACCCUCGUUCUGUCACAUUAUUGAUCAAAGGACCAAAUAAGCCCACACUUAGAUCAAAGAUGCAGUAAGGGAUGGCUUGAGGGCUGUCAAAAAUGCUAUUGAUGAUGGCUGUGUGGUUCCGGUGCUGGUGCCGUGGAAGUGGCAAUGGCAGAAGCCCUGAAUAAAUAUAAGCUCAGUGUAAAGGGCAAGGCACAGCUUGGAGUCCAAGCAUUUGCUGAUGUGUUGCUCGUUAUUCCCAAGGUUCUUGCGCAGAAUUCUGGUUUUGACCUUCAGGAAACAUUAGUUAAAAUUUAAGCAGAACAUUCAGAAUCAGGUCAGUGAGCCCGUGGUAGCAGCAGAAGCAGGCAUUAUGGGAUAACGAUUGUGUAAAGAAACAGCUUCUUCAUUCCUGCACUGGUUGCCACCAACAUUCUCUUGGUUGAUGAGAUCAUGCGAGCUGGAAUCUUCUCUGAAAGGUUGAAUUGAAGCUUCCUCUGUAUCUGAGUCUUGAAGACUCUGCAAAGUGAUCCUGAAGAAUUUUUGUCCAAGCUUCAAAUGAGUUUCAAGGGAAUUUUCCCAUGUGAAAAAAGGAGAGAACACUGGCAUCUGUUGAAAUUCGGAAGUUCUGAAAUUAUAAUCACAGUAUUUUUUAAAAAUUGCACUGAAGUGUACACAGAUAAAGCAGGUC